CUUUGCGAAUAUUUUAAAAUCUAAACUUUGUAUUAAAUUCGUCUCUGUUUUCUUGGUCGUUUAUAUGACAGCACUACCAUACAUCGUUUUCAAAAUUUUCACCAUGUAUACUCAUUAGAAAUUCACGAGGAUCUGCUUAACCAAUCGUAGUUUUUUCUUGGUCACACAACUUUAAACUUGGCGUUUCUUUAAAGUAUUAUACAACUGCAUGGUUAUAUAUCUAGUGCAUUAAUGUUACCUGUAUACAGCUAUUUCAAUUAAGGUCGAAUACAAGCGCGAAAGGCUGCUGGGAAUCGCUAAUAAAUGAAUGAAUUUAUUAAAUAGCUGUAUACAGGCUUAAAUCGCCAUAGGUAGAUCUUUGUUAUGCAGUUAUGAAGAUGACGCAAUUCAAAGAACAGUUUCUCCAAGUUUCUAUACAACUGUUAAAGAUCAUUUGCUACCUCCCACGUUGUCUUUUGAAACCAACUAACUAUUUUAAGAAAACCG